rnacentral:rRNA from 1 species
CAGCAGCCGCGGUAAUACGGAGGGCGCGAGCGUUGUCCGGAUUCACUGGGCGUAAAGCGUGCGCAGGCGGCCCGUUAAGACAGGUGUGAAAUCCCUGGGCUCAACCUAGGAAUUGCGCUUGUGACUGGCGGGCUCGAGUACGGUAGAGGGGGGUGGAAUUCCUGGUGUAGCAGUGAAAUGCGUAGAGAUCAGGAGGAACACCGAUGGCGAAGGCAGCCCCCUGGGCCUGUACUGACGCUCAUGCACGAAAGCGUGGGGAGCAAACAGGAUUAGAUACCCUGGUAGUCCACGCCCUAAACGAUGGGUACUAGCCGUUUGGUGCGCGAGAGCGCUGAGUGGCGAAGCUAACGCGUGAAGUACCCCGCCUGGGGAGUACGGCCGCAAGGUUGAAACUUAAAGGAAUUGGCGGG